UACGAAGGACCCGAGCGUUAUCCGGAAUUAUUGGGCGUAAAGAGCUCGUAGGCGGUUUGUCGCGUCUGCCGUGAAAGUCCGGGGCUCAACUCCGGAUCUGCGGUGGGUACGGGCAGACUAGAGUGAUGUAGGGGAGACUGGAAUUCCUGGUGUAGCGGUGAAAUGCGCAGAUAUCAGGAGGAACACCAAUAGCGAAGGCAGCUCGCUGGGACGUUACUGACACUGAGGCGCGAAAGCGUGGGGAGCGAACAGG
rnacentral:rRNA from 1 species